UGAGAAAGAAAGAGGAAAGUAAUAAAGGAAUGGAGAUAAAUUUGGGGCACUUGGCGUUUGACAUUGAUUUUCAUCCAUCGCAGCAGUUGGUCACUACUGGUCUUAUCAAUGGCGACCUUCACUUGUACCGAUACACAUCUGAUUCCGUACCACAAAGGGUGUUGGAAGUUCAUGCACACAGUGAAUCUUGCAGAGCUGUUCGGUUCAUCAACAAUGGCCAAGCUAUUUUGACGGGAUCUCCCGACUGCUCAAUUCUUGCUACGGAUGUGGAAACUGGUGCUUCUAUUGCUCGCCUGGACGAGGCUCACGGGUCUGCGGUCAAUAAGCUUAUCAAUUUGACCGAGUCCACGGUGGCCUCUGGUGAUGACGAAGGCUGUAUUAAGGUGUGGGACACCAGGCAACAAUCUUGCUGCAAUACUUUUAAAGCUCAUGAAGAGUACAUUUCCGAUAUGACUUUUGCAGCUGAUUCCAUGAAACUCCUAGGAACUAGUGGAGAUGGGACUCUUUCUGUUUGCAAUCUUCGAAGAAAUAAAGUUCAAGCUCAAUCUGAAUUUUCAGAAGAGGAGCUACUGUCCGUGGUUAUCAUGAAGAAUGGUCGGAAAGUUGUUUGCAGCUCACAUAUUGGGAAUCUAUUAUUGUAUUCAUGGGGCUGUUUCAAGGAUUGCAGUGAUCGAUUUGUUGAUCUCUCUCCGAAUUCUGUGGAUGUUUUGUUGAAGCUUGAUGAAGAUAGGUUGAUCACUGGAUCGGAAACUGGACUUAUCAGCCUAGUAGGUAUAUUACCCAACAGAGUCAUCCAACCUAUUGCAGAACACUCAGACUAUCCAGUUGAGGGUCUCGCUUUCUCCUAUGAUAAAAAGUUUCUGGGAAGUAUAGCACAUGAUCAGAUGUUGAAGCUAUGGGAUAUGGAUGAAUUAUUGCAAGGUUCUACAAAUACAUCAAGGCCUCAAGCAGCUGCAGAGGACAGCGAUAGUGACGAUAUGGAUAUGGAUAUGAAUCCUCCGAAGUCUAACAAAGGUACAAAGAAGAAAAAUGCAAGCAAAGAUCGUGUUUCGGGAAGUUCAAAUGAUUUUUUUGCUGAUUUACAGAUGGAGGGUUGAGUACGGUUUUUCAACUUUGGUACGACACUUUUCAUGGACAAACAAAAUACCUAUAGUUUAUGUUAACUUUAUCAUGUGUGGGAGGGAGGGUUUUUUUAUUUAGUUGUCGAAACAAUCUGAUGAAUCUGGAGUUGUAAAAAUAUCCGCUGGCAAAGAUUUCUCCGUCGAGUAUUGCCAUCAGUUUAAAUCUCUUCUUGAGUUCUGGCUGCACCAUGCACACAAUAAUGAAAGGAAUACUCCGAACAGACUAGUACGACAUGGCCGGACAUGGAGGUUAACUCGAGUCGAUUCAAGCGAGCACAAUCCGGUCAAAUGUGACCGAAAUUCGAGCGUUAAUACCUUGAUCCUGAAACCAGGAACUUGAAAAAAGCUCUGUUUUAUUGUUUUUGUAGGCUCGGGUUACACAAAACUGAAAUUUUUGUUUUUCCUCAUUUGUUGGGUCGGGUUAUGGCCCAACGUCUUACUCAUUCUUACUCA